rnacentral:rRNA from 1 species
UACGAAGGGUGCAAGCGUUACUCGGAAUUACUGGGCGUAAAGCGUGCGUAGGUGGUGAGUUAAGUCUGUCGUGAAAGCCCCGGGCUCAACCUGGGAAUGGCGAUGGAUACUGGCUCGCUAGAGUGCGGUAGAGGAGAGUGGAAUUCCCGGUGUAGCAGUGAAAUGCGUAGAGAUGAUGGAGGAACACCGAUGGCGAAGGCAGCCCCCUGGGUCAAGACUGACGCUCAUGCACGAAAGCGUGGGGAGCAAACAGG